rnacentral:rRNA from 1 species
ACGCUCGACACCUACGGAGGCAGCAGUCGGGAAUAUUGCGCAAUGGAGGAAACUCUGACGCAGUGACGCCGCGUAUAGGAAGAAGGUUUUCGGAUUGUAAACUAUUGUCGUUAGGGAAGAAAAGGACAGUACCUAAGGAGGAAGCUCCGGCUAACUACGUGCCAGCAGCCGGGUAAUCUGAGCGGGCUGGCAAGGC